CCAGAUUGAUGCAUGGAAUAGACAGGAGUUGGUUAAGCACAUUGGUUUUCAUUCUGUAGAUGUUGAUGGUGAUGAUCCAAAUGAUGAUACGUGUGGCCUUUGUGGAGAUGGUGGGGAUUUGAUAUGUUGUGAUGGUUGUCCAUCAACAUUUCAUCAGAGCUGCCUUGGUAUACUGGUACUUUUACAGCAACUCAAAUGCUAUUGUAUUAUUUACAUGCACAAACUGUGCAUGCAGCGCACCUUUUUGUUUUGUGAUUGAUUUUCUCAUGGGAUUCUCUUGUUUGCAUUUUUGUGUUUAUUUUUUUUUCUCUCUCUGGUUCCAUUGAAGAUUGUUGUGGAAAGAGGCUUUAGAGAAAAAAAAAU
rnacentral:misc_RNA from 1 species